AAUUUUAAGGUCAAAUAAUACCAAACUCAUACCAGCUUAACCUAAAAAUAUUUCUAUAUAACUAAAAACAGCCUAGAAAUCCUUAGACUCUACAUAUACAGACAGAAUCCGCCAUUUUGGACCUUAGGAGACCCCCUGAACGUCAUCUCCCUCGACGCACCCCAUCUCUGAAAGCACCCUUGAAUUUCCAACGAGCCCACCCUAGCGAGAACCAGCUUCAGCCGCAAGACACACAUACACACACAAGGGACGAAAAUAAUAGGGCUAGGAAAAGGGACCGAAACAGAGAGAGACGAGUGGAAUGAGAGCAUAAGAGCCGAGUCUGAAUCUGAUCGGAAAAAAAGAAGCUCCGGCGACCUCCAUAAAUGUCGGCGAUGCCAUUUUUGGACUCCAUUAAAACAGCAGCCAUCAAGCUCUUAAACCUAGUCCCCCCCCCCCCCCCCCCAGCUUAAAACCACCCAAAAACACCAUGUAACUAACCACCGAUUUGUUGUUCUAAACCAGUCGAGGAACACCCCUUAAACCACUGCAAAACUCGUCGAGUCAGGGAGGCCUUCAUUUGAAAUCUGUUCGUCGUUUCCGUCGUCCAAGGUCCCGGUCUAAAAUUUUGGCUUAUGAAAAGAAACUGAGGCACGAGUUCCCCAGGUUCAUCAUGGUUCGGAAUAUCCCGCCUUUGCUACUGGAUUGGUGGGAAAAUCUUUUACCAAGCAACAAAAAUCACGUGAAAAGAGUUCUUGGGAAUUUACCAUCUUUGCUAGACAUUCAACCGAACAAUGAACUGAUCGAGGCCGCUACUAUGUUCUGGUUCUGUUUCGGGAUAUAGAAAUUGUUACUAGAUUUUCUAUAGGAAAAAUUAUAGGAAUAAAUUGUUAUUCCUUUCCUCUACAGAGAAACCUUUCUUCCAAGUCACACCAUAAGAGCCAUUUAUUAUCUUUCUUUGAUUCCAGAUCAAAGAUUAAUUUUAUCAUUAAUUUCUAUCUAGACUAUAUAUCUAUAUUAUAUUAAGUACAUUGUAGAUUUCGAUGUAUAUCUAUCAGAUCAUGGCUUCAUGUACCAAAUAUUUCAAUAUCAUUGCAUCCGGUAUUUUUGUUUUGUUCCAACAGUGUGAUGAAGAAUAGAUCCGAGAAAGAGACUUUCAUUUCCAGUCUCUUAUUUAUUUUAUUUUUAUUGAAUUUUUGAUUUUCUAAAAGGAAAAUCUAAAAG